GGGCGUAAAGCGUCUGUAGGUUGUUUAAUAAGUCUGUUGUUAAAGACUAGGGCUCAACCCUAGAAAAGCAAUGGAAACUACUAGACUUGAGUAUGGCAGGGGUAGAGAGAAUUUCUAGUGUAGCGGUGAAAUGCGUAGAUAUUAGAAAGAACACCAGCGGCGAAAGCGCUCUACUGGACCAUUACUGACACUCAGAGACGAAAGCUAGGGUAGCAAAAGGGAUUAGAUACCCCUGUAGUCCUAGCCGUAAACGAUGGAUACUAGAUGUUGUGUUUAAUAUGCAGUAUCGUAGCUAACGCGUUAAGUAUCCCGCCUGGGGAGUACGCUCGCAAGGGUGAAACUCAAAGGAAUUGACGGGGGCCCGCACAAGCGGUGGAGCAUGUGGUUUAAUUCGAUGCAACGCGAAGAACCUUACCAGGACUUGACAUACUACAAAUUUCUUUGAAAAAAGGAAGUGCCUUCGGGAAUGUAGAUACAGGUGGUGCAUGGCUGUCGUCAGCUCGUGUCGUGAGAUGUUGGGUUAAGUCCCGCAACGAGCGCAACCCUUAUUUUUAGUUACUAAUUAAUUAGGUUUUCUAGAAAGACUGCCGGUGACAAACCGGAGGAAGGUGAGGAUGACGUCAAGUCAGCAUGCCCCUUAUGUCCUGGGCUACACACGUGCUACAAUGGUUAAAACAAAGGGUCGCGAGCUCGUGAGAGUCAGCUAAUCCCAUAAAUUUAGCCUAAGUUCAGAUUGUAGGCUGCA
rnacentral:rRNA from 1 species